rnacentral:piRNA from 1 species
UGGAUACCAAGCUACCUGGAGGA